rnacentral:lncRNA from 1 species
AGGAUUUACUGAGCUUUUCCUUGUGCCAGGCCUGGUGUCCUAGAUCCUGAUAUAUAUCAUAUACUUUAUAGGUCUAGACUACAGAUGACAUGCGAUCCUUCAAUAAUGAAAGAAAAAAUAGUUCAAAGAAUUGUGAAUGAAUAUAGUAUUGCAAACUGGAAAUGGAAAAGAAUUUGAGUCUAAGCAAAGAAUUCAACAUCUAUGUUCAUCAGUG